CUACGGGGGGCUCCAGUGGGGAAUAUUGCACAAUGGGGGAAACCCUGAUGCAGCAACGCCGCGUGGAGGAUGACACAUUUCGGUGCGUAAACUCCUUUUAUAUAAGAAGAUAAUGACGGUAUUAUAUGAAUAAGCACCGGCUAACUCCGUGCCAGCAGCCGCGGUAAUACGGAGGGUGCAAGCGUUAUUCGGAAUCACUGGGCGUAAAGGGUGCGUAGGCGGUUUGGAAAGUCAGGUGUGAAAGCCCGGGGCUCAACUCCGGAACUGCACUUGAAACUUCCAGACUAGAAUACUGAAGGGGCAGAUGGAAUUAGUGGUGUAGGGGUAAAAUCCGUAGAUAUCACUAGGAAUACCGAAAGCGAAAGCGAUCUGCUGGGAAGUUAUUGACGCUGAGGCACGAAAGCGUGGGGAGCAAACAGGAUUAGAUACCCUUGUAGUC
rnacentral:rRNA from 1 species